GGGUGUCAACCCUGACGCACGGCAACGUCCUUGACGCGUCGUAUGCCCAAUCCACAAACCACAAGUCUUUUUUUUGUUACUGGUUGUCUGCUGAAUGUAGUUUGUGUUCUGUAUUAAUAUAUUAAACAUUCUCUUGGUUACAACACUAAAAUUUGCCACUUUUUUGAGCUAACCUGAGAGACUUCUUUUUACUAUUAUUUCCAAGGUACGCACACUAUCAACACCCUUACAGUGUGCUUCAUAAAUACAUCAACCCCUGAGAUAACAUUAUUGUUGGAAAUUGUGUUUUUGUUCUCCACUUUUAUUAUCCACAUGGUAUUUUCACACUACUUCAUUACCAUCAUGGAAAACCAGGUGUGACAUUCUAUCAUCCUGGAAAAAGGAUUAGAAUCCCUUUUAUUUUCCAGAAUUUCUAGAACUGGAAAUUUUCCAAAGAUUCGUUAAAGCUGAUAAUUGUCAACAGGCACACUCUGAGUAGAAAGAAAACGUGGUUUGCCUUAACAUUUUAUCAUCCUGGAAAAAGGAUUCUGGAAAUUGAUGAUUUCUAAUAUACAGCUGGUUUUCAGGUUUAUUUUUACAUAAUGAGCUUCCAAUUUGAAGUUGUGAGUGUUUUAUGGGAUUAUGGAUUCCUUCUUUGAAAACCAAAUUAUUUACUUCUAUAAAUGGAUUUUGAAGUAUCAUACAUGUGUUAUUAUGUACUCAAUGAUGCAGAUCUUCGCGAAGCCUUUAAUUGACGUUAUACUAAAAAAUUCCCAUGGAAGGAAGUUCUUUCAGGAUCUGUUAUCGACCGUCUAUGUUAUGCAGUAAUUGGAUCUGCAGUUUAGUUGGAAACUUUAACUUAGAAAUGUGCCCAGCUUAGAAUUUAUAUAAAAGAUUAUAUUUGAGUGGAAAAAGUUCCUGGUUGAGACAGGAGAU
rnacentral:lncRNA from 1 species